AAAAUUUAUGGUGGGGAUACGCAAACUUCUCAACAGGCCGUACCAAUAUCCGCAGCUGGUCUCCAAGGUGAAGAGUCUCUAGUCGAUAGAAUAAUGUAGGUAAGGGAAGUCGGCAAAUUAGAUCCGUAACUUCGGGAUAAGGAUUGGCUCUGAAGAUUGAGAUAGUCGGGCUUGAUUGGGAAACAAUAAUAUGGUUUAUGUGCUCGUUCUGGGUAAAUAGAGUUUCGAUCAUUUAUGGUUGUAACUUGUUCCCCGGAUAGUUAGUUACGUAUCCAAUUGUGGAACUUUCUUGCUAAAAUUUUUAAGAAUACUAGUUGGGUCAAACCAAUUAGUUCUUAUUAAUUAUAACGAUUAUCAAUUAACAAUCAAUUCAGAACUGGCACGGACUUGGGGAAUCCGACUGUCUAAUUAAAACAAAGCAUUGUGAUGGCCCUAGCGGGUGUUGACACAAUGUGAUUUCUGCCCAGUGCUCUGAAUGUCAAAGUGAAGAAAUUCAAGUAAGCGCGGGUCAACGGCGGGAGUAACUAUGACUCUCUUAAGGUAGCCAAAUGCCUCGUCAUCUAAUUAGUGACGCGCAUGAAUGGAUUAACGAGAUUCCUACUGUCCCUAUCUACUAUCUAGCGAAACCACAGCCAAGGGAACGGGCUUGGAAUAAUUAGCGGGGAAAGAAGACCCUUUUGAGCUUGACUCUAAUCUGGCAGUGUAAGGAGACAUAAGAGGUGUAGAAUAAGUGGGAGAUAUUAGACUUCGGUUUGGUAUCGCCAAUGAAAUACCACUACUCUUAUUGUUUCCUUACUUACUUGAUUAAAUGGAACGUGUAUCAUUUCCUAGCCAUUAUACGGAUAUAUUUAUUAUAUCUUAUGGUAUUGGGUUUUGAUGCAAGCUUCUUGAUCAAAGUAUCACGAGUUUGUUAUAUAAUCGCAAACAAAUUCUUUAAUGAGAGAUGCAUUUACUGUAUUAUUGAUUUGAAAAUUUGGUAUAACUCCAAUUACUCAGGUAUGAUCCAAUUCAAGGACAUUGCCAGGUAGGGAGUUUGACUGGGGCGGUACAUCUCUCAAAUAAUAACGGAGGUGUCCCAAGGCCAGCUCAGUGCGGACAGAAACCACACAUAGAGCAAAAGGGCAAAUGCUGACUUGAUCUCGGUGUUCAGUACACACAGGGACAGCAAAAGCUCGGCCUAUCGAUCCUUUUGGUUUAAAGAGUUUUUAACAAGAGGUGUCAGAAAAGUUACCAUAGGGAUAACUGGCUUGUGGCGGCCAAGCGUUCAUAGCGACGUCGCUUUUUGAUCCUUCGAUGU
rnacentral:rRNA from 1 species